rnacentral:lncRNA from 1 species
UUUGUUUUGGUUUUAGGUUGCAAGGGCAGAGUUCCCUUCACUGCCUUGAUUCAUGGCAAAGUGCCAAUGGUUUUAGAGUCAUCCUUUUAAUACAAAAAUAAAAUCACAAAAGGAAGAUAACCUGUGUGAGGUCAAAAGUCACAUCGCAGAAGGUGAACACCACAGUGUUUGUUAUCAUUGCAGAAAUGGUUUUGGCCUUUCUGUCUAGAUGAUUAGGGCAAAAGGAACUGACUUGGGGCCAUUUAGGAAAAGCUCCCUGAUAGAGAUUGAUAAAGAAUGAGUGUCAUUCUCUUUUAUUGUGUCACCUAUUCAAAUAAAAGUAGGAAAAUUGCAAAGUUAAAUUGUAUUUAUCAUUUUUUUGUUAAUCAUCCACAGAUUUGGCAAGUGUUUAGUGAGUGCUUUGCGUAAGUUAUUAUUAAUUAAGAAAUGAAAACCAUCGCAUGGGGAACAGAAUAACACCAAAAACCCUGUGUACGGCCUGUCUACAGAGGUUUUGUAACAACGCCUCUCUUUGAAGCCCCAGAAUUUGAAUUUUAUAUAAAAGCCAAUAGAUAGGAGAGCCAGGUUUAACUUUUUUUUUUCCGCAGUUGGACAAACAUUUACCUUCUUUGGCUUUCAGUUUUCUUGAGUGUGAAAUGUGAGGCUAAGAUUUAUCUUCUCAAUGUUUCCAGUUUUCUUUUUUUAAACAAUAUUUUUAAAGAUUUGUGGAUUUUAUUUAUAUGAGUACACUGUAGCUGUCUUCAGACACACAGAAGAGGGCAUUGGAUCCCAUUACUGAUGGUUGUGAGCCACCAUGUGAUUGCUGGAAAUUGAACUCAGGACCUCUGGAAGAGCAGUCAGUGCUCUUAACCACGGAGCCAUUCCUCCAGCCCUUGUUUCCAGAUUUCAAAUUCAUUAAUUUGAUGUGUUUCACAAUUCAGUCACCCUUCGCUGACACAGCAUGCCUUAAUUACUCUGUGGGAAGCCAUAAAACCACCACCAAACCAUUUGGCUCCUGUUUUUAAGUCACUGACUCAGUGUGAGUUGAGCAGUACUCUUCCUUUUUCCACAUUUUAUCAGAAUGUGCCACAUCACCAAAGACCUAAAGGAACUCACACAAAUGAUGGAGAUGUGGGAAAUAAGCACUGUUGCAAAGAGUUGGGAAUCCAGAGAUUAGAAUAAGAAUGAGGAAAAGUCCACUGUGCCACACACCCAGAAGUCAAGUGCCUGUAUGGCAUGCAUGAGGGCCUGGGUUCAAAUCCUGUGGUUGUAAGAGCCCCAUCAAAGUGUUUGUGUUUUAGCCUGUUCGCUAAUUCCAUAAAAACUGUAAAUGUUGUGCAUGCUUGGCAGAAUCUGUAAAAGUAGGAACAUGGGCCUAAUGGUGUAAAAACAGUGGUGUAAAAACUACAUCUUUAUCUCCAUGCACCUUACUUUAAUGAGAGCACAGCAGGUAACACUGCCACCUCCUAAAUGGACCCAUUGCUUAACCCAUAUAGCUUGGAAAUAUGGCUCUGACAAAGGAGAACUAAAUAGAAAUUAUCUUAGCCAUCAGCUCAUUAUUUAAUUUUUUUAAUUAGUGUAAUUUGUGAGCUUCACUAUGUACACGUGGCACCUGUACACAAGCAUCACAUACUCUGCUCAUUUACCCCACCCAUCACCAUCGCUUUUUCCCCAGAGAGUCUGUCCUAUCCUUUCUUGUCAUAUAUGUAAAUUUUAAACUGAGCAUAUGAUAGAAAACAAGCAGUGUGUGUGUGUGUGUGUGUGUGUGUGUGUGUGUGUGUGAAAGAGAGAGAGAGAGAGAGAGAGAGAGAGAGAGAGAGAGAGAGCGCGCAUAUGCAUGUAGAGACAGGAGGUUGAUGUGGUGCCCUCCUCUCCCACCCUUCACCUUAUUUUUUGAAACAGGGUUUUCCUUUAACUCGGAGCUCACCAAUUGGAUAAGACUAGCUGGCCAGUGCACUCCAGGGAUCUGCCUGUCUCUGCUCUGUACGUCCUCAGCUAGAGCUAUAGGUCUGCACCAUCAUGCUCGGCCUACAUGGGGAUCUGAAUGCUGGUCCUUAUGCUUGUACCACCAGCUCUAUGUAGCCUGGGCGGUCUCCUCAGCCUCAAACAUGCAAUAUUUCACUUAGUAUUAUCUCCAGUUCCAUCCAUCUUCCUGCACAUGACACAAUUUAUUCUUUAUGGCUGAAUAAAAUCCCAUUGUGUAUGCAUCCAGCGUCAUCUUUACCCAUUCGUCUGUUUGUGGUCAUCUAGGCUGACUUCUCUCCCUAGUUACUGUGGCCACUGUGAAUUAGCACAGUAGUAAACAUGGCCAUGCAAGGGUCUCUGAUGUGAUCUUUUAGAAUAUGCCAGGAGUCGUAUAAUUGGAUCAUAUGGUCAUUCAAUUUUUAAUUGCUUGAGAUCCCUCCAUGCAGAUUCCUAGGUGUCUGUACUCAUUUAGAUUUCUACCAACACAUUGCUAGCCUCUCCUCCUACCCACAUCCUCACCAACAUUUGGACUUUGUUUUGUUUUUUUUCUUGACAAAUGCUGUCUUAGUUCAUUUCCUGUUGCGAUGAUAAACACCAUGACUAAAAUCAAGCUUGGGAGAACAAGGCUGAUUUCAGUUUAGAACUCUCAGGUGGUAGUCAGUCAUAAGGGAAGUCAGGGCAGAAACACAAGCCAAACCCAGGGCAGAAACAGAAGCAGAAGUGGAGACAAUAGAGGAGCAUUGCUUACUGACUUGUUCCCCAUGGCUUGCUCAGCUAGCUUCCUUAAACAAGCCCAGGAGUAGCACUGCCCCCAGCCUUACCACAUAAGUUAUUAGUCAAGAAAAUGGCCCCACAGGCUUGCCUAUGGGCCAGUCUGACAGAGGAGUUUUUUUUUUUUUUUUCAAUUGAGUUCCCAAAUGACUCUGUUCGUUGUCAAAUUGACAAGAAAAAAAAAUCUAACUAGAAUAGCCUUAUUAGCACAAAAUAAGCUAUCAGGAAAUACUUACUUACUUAGGACUCACUUUGGCCUUGAACUCACAGAGAUCUGCCUCACAAGUGCUGGGACUAAAGGCGUGCAUCUCACCUGGCAACUAAUCUUGAAAUAGGAUUCUCAAGGGCCCAGUGUGAGGAUCUAUAAAGGCAGAAAUUGGAGGCCAGAGAAGCACUGGUACAGGAAGAUGUGUAGUGAAAGAUGAGUAGUGACAAUCUCAGUUGGCCAUUGCUGACCUUGAAGAUGGGCAAGGAUAAUGAGCAGCCUCUGGAAGUCUAGAAAAGAACAUGACAGAUGUGGUGAUAUGAAUGAAAAUGGUGCCCAUAGACUUAUAUAUCUGAGUUCUUGGUCCCUAGUUGGUAAACUGAUUAGGAAGGAUUAGGAGGCCAGCCUGGCCUACAUAUUGAGUUCCAAGACAGCCAGAGCCACAUAGUGAGACUCUGUCUCCCCCCAUCCCACCCCACCCCC